rnacentral:rRNA from 1 species
UUAAGCGACUAAGCGUACACGGUGGAUGCCCUGGCAGUCAGAGGCGAUGAAGGACGUGCUAAUCUGCGAUAAGCGUCGGUAAGGUGAUAUGAACCGUUAUAACCGGCGAUUUCCGAAUGGGGAAACCCAGUGUGAUUCGUCACACUAUCAUUAACUGAAUCCAUAGGUUAAUGAGGCGAACCGGGGGAACUGAAACAUCUAAGUACCCCGAGGAAAAGAAAUCAACCGAGAUUCCCCCAGUAGCGGCGAGCGAACGGGGAGCAGCCCAGAGCCUGAAUCAGUGUGUGUGUUAGUGGAAGCGUCUGGAAAGGCGCGCGAUACAGGGUGACAGCCCCGUACACAAAAAUGCACAUGCUGUGAGCUCGAUGAGUAGGGCGGGACACGUGGUAUCCUGUCUGAAUAUGGGGGGACCAUCCUCCAAGGCUAAAUACUCCUGACUGACCGAUAGUGAACCAGUACCGUGAGGGAAAGGCGAAAAGAACCCCGGCGAGGGGAGUGAAAAAGAACCUGAAACCGUGUACGUACAAGCAGUGGGAGCACAGAGCAAUCUGUGUGACUGCGUACCUUUUGUAUAAUGGGUCAGCGACUUAUAUUCUGUAGCAAGGUUAACCGAAUAGGGGAGCCGAAGGGAAACCGAGUCUUAACUGGGCGUUAAGUUGCAGGGUAUAGACCCGAAACCCGGUGAUCUAGCCAUGGGCAGGUUGAAGGUUGGGUAACACUAACUGGAGGACCGAACCGACUAAUGUUGAAAAAUUAGCGGAUGACUUGUGGCUGGGGGUGAAAGGCCAAUCAAACCGGGAGAUAGCUGGUUCUCCCCGAAAGCUAUUUAGGUAGCGCCUCGUGAAUUCAUCUCCGGGGGUAGAGCUCUGUUUCGGCAAGUGGGUCAUCCCGACUUACCAACCCGAUGCAAACUACGAAUACCGGAGAAUGUUAUCACGGGAGACACACGGCGGGUGCUAACGUCCGUCGUGAAGAGGGAAACAACCCAGACCGCCAGCUAAGGUCCCAAAGUCAUGGUUAAGUGGGAAACGAUGUGGGAAGGCCCAGACAGCCAGGAUGUUGGCUUAGAAGCAGCCAUCAUUUAAAGAAAGCGUAAUAGCUCACUGGUCGAGUCGGCCUGCGCGGAAGAUGUAACGGGGCUAAACCAUGCACCGAAGCUGCGGCAGCGACGCUUAUGCGUUGUUGGGUAGGGGAGCGUUCUGUAAGCCUGCGAAGGUGUGCUGUGAGGCAUGCUGGAGGUAUCAGAAGUGCGAAUGCUGACAUAAGUAACGAUAAAGCGGGUGAAAAGCCCGCUCGCCGGAAGACCAAGGGUUCCUGUCCAACGUUAAUCGGGGCAGGGUGAGUCGACCCCUAAGGCGAGGCCGAAAGGCGUAGUCGAUGGGAAACAGGUUAAUAUUCCUGUACUUGGUGUUACUGCGAAGGGGGGACGGAGAAGGCUAUGUUGGCCGGGCGACGGUUGUCCCGGUUUAAGCGUGUAGGCUGGUUUUCCAGGCAAAUCCGGAAAAUCAAGGCUGAGGCGUGAUGACGAGGCACUACGGUGCUGAAGCAACAAAUGCCCUGCUUCCAGGAAAAGCCUCUAAGCAUCAGGUAACAUCAAAUCGUACCCCAAACCGACACAGGUGGUCAGGUAGAGAAUACCAAGGCGCUUGAGAGAACUCGGGUGAAGGAACUAGGCAAAAUGGUGCCGUAACUUCGGGAGAAGGCACGCUGAUAUGUAGGUGAAGUCCCUCGCGGAUGGAGCUGAAAUCAGUCGAAGAUACCAGCUGGCUGCAACUGUUUAUUAAAAACACAGCACUGUGCAAACACGAAAGUGGACGUAUACGGUGUGACGCCUGCCCGGUGCCGGAAGGUUAAUUGAUGGGGUCAGCGCAAGCGAAGCUCUUGAUCGAAGCCCCGGUAAACGGCGGCCGUAACUAUAACGGUCCUAAGGUAGCGAAAUUCCUUGUCGGGUAAGUUCCGACCUGCACGAAUGGCGUAAUGAUGGCCAGGCUGUCUCCACCCGAGACUCAGUGAAAUUGAACUCGCUGUGAAGAUGCAGUGUACCCGCGGCAAGACGGAAAGACCCCGUGAACCUUUACUAUAGCUUGACACUGAACAUUGAGCCUUGAUGUGUAGGAUAGGUGGGAGGCUUUGAAGUGUGGACGCCAGUCUGCAUGGAGCCGACCUUGAAAUACCACCCUUUAAUGUUUGAUGUUCUAACGUUGACCCGUGAUCCGGGUUGCGGACAGUGUCUGGUGGGUAGUUUGACUGGGGCGGUCUCCUCCUAAAGAGUAACGGAGGAGCACGAAGGUUGGCUAAUCCUGGUCGGACAUCAGGAGGUUAGUGCAAUGGCAUAAGCCAGCUUGACUGCGAGCGUGACGGCGCGAGCAGGUGCGAAAGCAGGUCAUAGUGAUCCGGUGGUUCUGAAUGGAAGGGCCAUCGCUCAACGGAUAAAAGGUACUCCGGGGAUAACAGGCUGAUACCGCCCAAGAGUUCAUAUCGACGGCGGUGUUUGGCACCUCGAUGUCGGCUCAUCACAUCCUGGGGCUGAAGUAGGUCCCAAGGGUAUGGCUGUUCGCCAUUUAAAGUGGUACGCGAGCUGGGUUUAGAACGUCGUGAGACAGUUCGGUCCCUAUCUGCCGUGGGCGCUGGAGAACUGAGGGGGGCUGCUCCUAGUACGAGAGGACCGGAGUGGACGCAUCACUGGUGUUCGGGUUGUCAUGCCAAUGGCACUGCCCGGUAGCUAAAUGCGGAAGAGAUAAGUGCUGAAAGCAUCUAAGCACGAAACUUGCCCCGAGAUGAGUUCUCCCUGACUCCUUGAGAGUCCUGAAGGAACGUUGAAGACGACGACGUUGAUAGGCCGGGUGUGUAAGCGCAGCGAUGCGUUGAGCUAACCGGUACUAAUGAACCGUGAGGCUUAACCUU